ensembl:lncRNA
AAUACUGGAGCAUGGCAACAAAACCUGGUACUCUUCCUCAUUCUACAAAUCCCAUGCUCUGUGUAGGGAUUUAAUCUCUCUGUGAUCAGUGGAGUCUUCUCUGACUUGUCUCCCCAUGCCAGGGAAAUGGAGCAUAUGAACAAUGUCCACUGCUUGUGGGAGGUGCUGGACACCAGCUCUGGGACAGGGACUGCCUCUUGCUUUGUCCUACACUGUGCUGGGGCUUUGGUGCAACAAAGGCUGUGGAGUGAUCCCUGUGCUGUUGCACUGUGUGGUGCUGAUCCUGCCUUCCCCACAGCAAACUGCUGCUUCCAGAAAAUCCAAAAAGCCCUGGAGACGUGGCUGCUUUUGGAACUGGGAUCACAGUCCUGGGACUCCAUUCACAGCGGUGUGUGAGACACUUGACACCACAAAUUGCAAGUAGGAACUGGAGGCUGUGUUUCUACUGGAAGCAGGGUUGCAUUUUCCUCACCUGACCUCAUGGAGGUUUUGAGGCAGAGAUUGGCUGGAGAGCCACAGCUGGGGUGUGGGCUCACCUGGCUUUGUGUGCUUUCUAGUAGUGCUUUGUGUUGCUGCAUGUGCUUGAGCCCCAGUGUUCGCACUUUCAGAGCUCAGAGAAUCUGUGUUUUGGGUCUGCUCACCUGGUUUCCAAGCCAGUUUACAGUUUGGAACUUGCUUGUGUUUGGAAAUGGAUUUUAGAGCAUACACAUGGCCUUUGGACCCAGAUGCCAAAAUACAAAUCCCAGAAUGGUUUGGGCUGGAAGAGACCUUAAAGCUCAUCCCAUUCCAACCCCCUGCCAGGGGCAGGGACACCUUCCACUACCCCAGGGUACUCCAAGCCCUGUCCAGCCUGGCCUUGGGCACUUCCAGGGAUCCAGGGGCAGCCCCAGCUUGUCCAUCCUCACAAGGAACAAUUCUUCCCAAUAUCCCGUCUAACCCUGCCCUCUGACACUGGGAGCCAUUGCCUGUGUCCUGUCCCUCCAUCCCUUGUCCCCAGUCCCUCUUCAGCUGUCCUGGAGCCCCUUCAGGCCCUGGCAGGGGCUCUGAGCUCUCCCUGGAGCUUCUCCUCUGCAGGUGAGCACCCCCAGCUCUCCCAGCCUGUCCGUGUGUUAUUAUGAGCAAACAAGAGGUGCACUUUGAGGAUGUGUUAUCUUCACUCAGGUGUAACAUCACUGGAGGAGAAAAAGACCAGCUGGAUGCAGGCCUGCUGAGGAGCCCCUCUGGCUGUUGCUGACUGUACGUGCUCACCUGCAGCAGCCUUGGUCCUGUGUGUUACAAAAUCCCCUGAUCACUCACUGCUGCAGUGCGUGUGCCUAAAGAAAUCUCAUUAAGGUCACUGGCGAGUUUUCUUGGACAAAGAUCACAGAAAACCCAUGUUGUAAAUGGUAGCUUUGGAAAUCAUUUAAAUGGUAGAUAAUGAUGCUCUUUUUUUAACUCUAUGCUUCGUUCUGCAGCAGUGUGCUCAGAAUAGCUUGGAGUGGUUUGGGCCAGUUUGGAUUUUUACAGUCAAUAUUUUCAAGAAAGAACUAAAAAGCAAGAUAGGUGAGGGAUUAAAAAAAAAGAAAGAGAGAGAGAGUUGUUUACAUUAAAGGAAAAGCAGAUGUCUAACAGCUUUAAAAAUAAAAACAAUCCAUUUCCAGCA